rnacentral:hammerhead_ribozyme from 1 species
ACACUAAUGAAGAGUCCUAGAACAGGAUGAAACAACUGUCCAGUGU